rfam:Labrenzia sp. VG12 chromosome, complete genome.
CGCAUGGGGCAUGCGAACACCCCGUGAGGCGUCAGCUGAAGUUUCGCGUCCAUAGACCCUCAAUUGACGGGAGGACGCGCCAUG